GGCCGGGCGGGCGCGCGGGGUGCUGGCCGCCGGCUGGAGACUCCGCGGGAGCGCGGCCAGGCCGCCUCGCCCGGGGAGCGGGCCGGGCGCCUCCCGAGCCCGCGGGGCUCUCGGAGGGCGACUGGGCGUGGGCUUCUGGGCUUCUCCCCCCGGCCAGCUACUGGUGGUUUGUGCUCCGAGUCAUGUAAAAAAAAAAAAAAAGAAGUCUCCUGUCUGAUUGUCAGAACCAAGCUCAUCUUCGUUAAAUGUCACCGUUUAAAAGGGGAGUCUCAGAAGUCUGCAGAAUCAAAAGUGUGAUCAUUGGGGAAGUCCGUCUACCUUCCCCUACCCCUGCUGAUUUCUCCUUGGAACAAUACGGGAAAGCAGAGAGUAUGAAAGCCUACCUAAAGAGUGCGGAAGGCUUUCUUGUCCUGAAUAAAAGCACUACUGUUGGAAGGCAUGAAGACUCAGACCUUGUUUUAGAGUCUCCCGACAUCGACAACCAUCAUGCGCUCAUUGAAUAUAAUGAGGCCGAGGACAGCUUUGUUCUCCAGGACUUCAAUUCCAGAAACGGCACCUUCGUCAACGAGUGCCACAUUCAGAAUGUGGCCGUGAAGCUGCUACCCGGAGACAUCCUGAGAUUUGGGUCUGGAGGGCUGACCUACGAGCUGGUCAUCGAAAACCCAUCCUCGGUCUCCUCCCCAUGGAUGAGUGGCCCGGUACCUUGGCCAAGACCACAGCCACCUGCGGCCACACAGAAGUCGCAACAGUCCCCCCCACCUCUGCAGAUGCCCUUCCCCCUGGGGAUCCGGCCAGCACCAGUGCAGAGGAGCUGGUCCCAGGGGCUUCCCAGGCCCACCAUGGUCCCUCCUGCCUGUCACAAGCGGCCCAUGAGCGCCAGCGGGAAGAUGUUCUCCUUUGUGAUGGAUGGCAUCCACAGGCCUCCCAUCAUCAAGCAAGGUAUUCGCUCGUGCUUCCAGUGGUGGUUUUGGGGAUGGCCUUAUAGCCACGCAGUGUGGACCAACGCUGUGGAACUGUCAGAACCGUCAGUGGCCGAAGGGAUUCCCGAGGCAGGACCUUCCGGGGAGAUUUAUGCGGACCAGGACUCAGACCAGCAGGAUAAGGAUGAAAUCAUUCUGCUGCUGGGGAAAGAAAUCAGCCGUCUCUCGGAUUUUGAACUUGAAUCCAAAUACAAAGACGUCGUGAUAGCGAACCUGCAGAACCAAGUGGCCAACCUGAGUCAGAGGCUGUCGGAGAAAACCUCCUCCAGGCAGAAGGAGAGGGGCACCUCACAGAACUUCCAGGUUUUGGAUGAAGACAUCGAUGCCAAACAGAGAGAGAUCGAGAGCUUGAAAAGCCAGAUCAGUGCCCUGCAGAAAGGCUACAACCAGGUGCUCUGCCAGACCCUGUCCGAGAGGAACUCAGAAAUCACAUCCCUGAAGCACGAGGGCGAGAACCUGAGGAAGGACAAUGCCGUCACCUCAGGGAUGGUGUCAUCUUUGCAAAAGGAAGUGUCAACAAGGGAUGAGCAAAUUCAGCAACUCACACAAGAGGUGAACCAACUAAAAAGUGAGAACAAAGAAAAGGAACAUCAGCUUGAAGCCCUCAGCUCCAGAUGCUACAUGCUGAAAGAAGAACGAAGAAAGGAGGAUUCUCAGAAGGAGCACCAGGAAGCCCAAGGGAAAGAGUUAAAACUCUGCAAAAUUCAAAUCCAAGACAUGGAGAAAGAAAUGAGGAAGCUCAGGGAGGAGCUGAAGAAGAGUUCUACUGAACAGAACAUGAUCUCCAAAACGCUGCGAGAAAAGAGUAAGGUUGAAGAGAAGCUUCAGGAGGAUUCCAGAAGGAAAUUGCUCCAGCUGCAAGAAAUGGGGAACAGAGAGAAUCUCAUUAAAGUCAAUUUGGAAAGGGCAGUAGGUCAGCUGGAGCAUUUCAGAACUCAAAUCAUCAAGGCCACCUACGGGCAGGUGAAGCCGUUCCUGGACAGAUCCAUCACCGAUCAGCAGUUAAUAGAGAAGAUUACCCAGGUCACUGAGGACAGCAUCAACCUUCAGCAGAAAAAAUGGACCCUGCAGAAGGAGACUCAGCUCCACAGCUCCAAACGGGAGGAAAUCACAGAGAACGUCGAGAAGCUGAAGACAUCUUUAGACAACUGCCAGGCGUGCAUGAAAAUGUCCCGCCGUAGCAAGGACCUGAAGAAGGAGGUGGACGUGCUUCAGAGCCUUCAGGUGAGCCCGCCCGUUUCAGGGCUCCAGAAGGCGGCACUGGACAUCCUGCGCCUGGCGCUGUCCUGGCUGGAGGACACGGAGCGUCUCCUCGGGGACGUCGGGAUCCAGUUACCCAGCUCCGACGCAGGAUUGUCUCUGUAUCUGGAAUAUCUUCUGAUACAUUACAAGAAAAUUACAAACCAAAGCCAGGAACUUCAGAUCAAGAUCCACAGCUCUCAGGAAGCUCAGCAAGAGAAGCUGCAGGAGCAUCUGGCAGAGAAGGAGAAGCUGAAUGAGGAUAGGCUCCAGCAAGAGGAGAAGCUGAGAGACCGAAUCAAGCAGCUGUUGGAAGAGAAGGAGGCUUUGGAGGAAAGCAUCGCUCAAGAGAAAAACAGAGCAAAAGAAGCAUUAGGAGAAGAACAGAAGAGGGUCCAAGAGCUGGAGAAUCGCCUAACCCGCCAGAAGAAGGUGUGGGAGGAAAGCAUCGCUCAAGAGAAAAACAGAGGGAAGGAAGCAUUAGAAGAUGAACAGAAAAGAGUCCAAGAGCUGGAGAGUCGCUUAACCUGCCAGAAGGAGGUUUUGGAGAGCAGCGUGGCCUACGAGAAAAGGAAAGCAAGGGAAGCGAUAGAGGCAGAAAAGAGAAAAGUUCAAGAUCUGGAGAACCACUUGACCCAACAGAAGGAGAUCUCAGAGAGCAGCAUCGCCUACGAGAAACACAAAGCAAAAGAGGCCAUAGAGAAGGAAAAGAAAAAGGUGCAAGAUCUGGAGAACCGAAUAACCAAGCAGAAGGAGGAAAUAGACUUGAAAGUGCAAAAAGAAGAUGUUUUAAAUAAUAAGUUGAAUGACGCGCUGGCCAUGAUAGAAGAGAUUCAGAAAACCAAGAGGGCCGAGAGCCUGAAAGCUGAGAGCCUCAGCAUGAAAUUAAACGAAACGUUAGCCGAACUGGAAACGGCCAGGACAAAAAUGAUCGUGAUGGAGGAGCGGCUGCAGCACACAGUGAAGGCCCUCCGGGACGAACAGGAAGCACAGAAACACGGAUUUGAAACCGAAGUCGUGGAAUACAAGGAGCAAAUCAGACAGCACUCCCAGACGAUCGUGAGCCUGGAAGAAAGGCUGCAAACAGUGACCGCGCGCCACAGAAAGAUAGAAGGAGAGAUUGCAACUCUGAAGGACAAUGACCCAGCCCAGGAGGAGGUGAUGCAGCAAGAGCCCCCCGCGGCGCCUCCGACGGAGACCAGUGUCACAGACGACGUGGGUGACACCUUGAUAGGGGAUCUACUGGCCGCUCAGAAGGAAAUCCUGUCUCAGCAGGAGGUCAUCAUGAGGUUACGGAAAAACCUCACGGAAGCCCACAACCGAAUGUCAGACUUGAGAGGGGAGCUUAAUGAAAAGCAGAAGAUGGAACUGGAGCGGAACGUGGCCCUGGUCCAGCAACAAAGCAACGAACUAAAAGCGCUCAAGGAAAAGAUGGCGCAGCUGACUGGCCUGGUGGAAAAGAAGGACAGGGAGCUGGAGGUCCUCAAGGAGGCACUCAGGGCCUCUCAAGAGAAACACCGAGUCCAGCUGCACAAGGAAAAGGAACAGAAGCCCAAGAACAUGACCCAGAUGUGUGACAUCUCAGUGCAGAUGGAACCCGUCCACACUGACAUUUUCUCGAGCAGUCAGGAGGAAUCCUUCAGUGAUCUAGGGGCCAAGUGCAAAGGGUCCCGACAUGAGGAAGUCAUUCAGCGUCAGAAAAAAGCCUUGUCUGAACUGCGUGCACGAAUUAAGGAGCUGGAGAAGGCGUCCUCAGCAAAUCCUAAGGACCACCCGAAUGAAUCAUUUCUAGACUUAAAGGCUGUCAGAAUGGAAACAAAUGUCCAGAAGACAUCGGACGCAAAACCUGACGUGCCAGCUUUCUCAAGAAUAGAGAUCAGAGCGGUAACCAAACCUCAGAACGGCCCUGUCAACUCAGCCGUCCCGGACAUCAAGUCAGGGAAGAUGGAUGUGGUUGAGGCUUUAGAUCUCAGUGAAAAGUUGUACAUGGACAUGAGCAAAACACUCGGGAGCCUGAUGAACAUCAAGGACAUGUCAGGUCACGUAUCCAUGAAGUACCUCUCCCCCAAAGAGAGAGAGAGAGUCACCCAGCUCCGACAAAGGGACCUCGAUCUGGUGUUCGAGAAGAUCACCCAACUCAAGAGCCGGCUGGAGAGAAAAGAGGAGCUUUUGAGAGGCUACGAGAAAGACAUAGAACAGCUCAGGCAGAGCAAAGUAUCCGUGCAGACGUACCAGUCACAGGUGGCCAAGCUGGAGGACAACAUCUACAAAGAGGCCGAAGAGAAGGCCCUGUUGAAGGAGGCCCUGCAGCGCGUGGAGCUCCAGCUGUACCAGGAGAAGAGGUUCAACAGGGCCAUCAGGCAGCAGAAGAGACGACUGUUUGUAGAGACAGUGAAGGACCAGAUGCAGAACUCAGGUCUCCGGGUGAGCCAGAAGGAAAAGGAGAAUGAUAGGACGCCAGCGGAAAAGCCAGUGGACAAAAAUGCCAGCACAUGUGUUGUGUAUCGAGCAUUGAGUGUGUGCCAGGCACAGAGCUAAGCGCUCGGUGUGCAUCAUCCCGUUUAAUCUUUGCAACAGACCCACGGGGCAGCUCUCGUUUCUGUCCUCCGUCAUCAGACGAGGUGUCUGAAAGUCAGAGACGUUAAGCUAUUUGUCCGGAGCCACACAGCUGGAUGAGGCAGGUGUGGCUCAUUGCAGAUCUGACACCCAGACGAGCACUGCUUCCCCUGCUUUAGAGUUGAGAAUCGAGACUAUGAAAUCUUAAACAUGUUGAAACGCUGCCAUUCACAAUUCAGCCCUGGAACUGGAGCUGACCCAACCACAUUCCCACUCUGCAGAAAAUAGAGGUUGGAGCCAGAAAAGCCACCCAAAAGAUGGACCAAGAAAGGGAGACACCGAAGGGAGAAACAUCCAGCAAAUCCAGCCAGAGCUUUCUGUUUUCCAAGCCCGGUAGCAGGAACUAGAAAUGCCAUCCCGUCGGGCCUUGCGUGAUGCUCCGUGAGUCCCGUGUGUGACCCUUCUGUGUCAAAAUACUAAGAUGCUUUUAUAGGACUUUAAAGGUUGUUACCCCAGUA